CUUGCCCAUGCCGGCUUGCCUGGAAGAGGGUGGACAUUGCCAGGAGCUUCAUCGUCGGAUGGGGAAUUUCGCAUAAAAACGCUCCCAGCAGCAGCAGCAGCAGCAGCAGCUCGAGAUGUGGCGCGCGCUCGUACACGACACACGAGACAGCCUUGCGCGCCGUAUCCUUCUUAACCCGGCUAACUCCUGGUGCCUGCCGCGAAAGAAGUGCUGCAAACAAGUGACUAAGCCUUCAACUCUCUGCUGCCAUUGUCCCCGUCCCGCGUCCCCGCCGAUUCCCUGGUGGCCAGGCAUUUCCCGGAGUUCGUUCGUCCCGGUUGUGAUACGCCAAGCAGUGGAGCGAAGUGAUGAUGAUGAUCAAAUGAACGCCAGUGAUUUGGAAUAUGUAUGGCAGCGGGGUUGGGAGGGUUUGGAAGCGCAUAGUAUUUGCAUUACGGGUUGUUGAUUUUCUUGUCUCACUUGCUCGCUUGCUGCUGGUCCCUUGCCGCGCCCGCCAGAACAAAAAGAAUGCCUCUGCUCCGAUUUACAGCGCAUUUCUCGGAGCGCUGAGCAAGCCCGUCCCUGCGGAGCGUUAUACCCGAGUGCGAGCAGCAGCAGCAGAAGGUGGAAUGCUUUGGGCUUUGGAAUGUUUUGUUGUUGUGCUCGAGCAAGCAAUAAAUGGAAAGAUAACGCAUUGAAAUUUCCA